UACGGAGGGUGCAAGCAUUAAUCGGAUUUAUUGGGCGUAAAGGGCGCGUAGGCGGACUGAUAAGUCAGAUGUGAAAUCCCGGGGCUCAACCCCGGAACAGCAUUUGAAACUGUCGAUCUAGAGGCUAGAUGGAGAAAACGGAAUUCCACAAGUAGCGGUGAAAUGCGUAGAUAUGUGGAAGAACACCGGUGGCGAAGGCGGUUUUCUAAUUUAGACCUGACGCUGAGGCGCGAAAGCAAGGGGAUCAAACAGG
rnacentral:rRNA from 1 species